rnacentral:rRNA from 1 species
UACGUAGGGGGCAAGCGUUUGUCCGGAAUCAUUGGGCGUAAAGCGCGUGUAGGCGGCCCGGUAAGUCCGCUGUGAAAGUCGGGGGCUCAACCCUCGAAUGCCGGUGGAUACUGUCGGGCUAGAGUGCGGGAGAGGCGAGUGGAAUUCCUGGUGUAGCGGUGAAAUGCGCAGAUAUCAGGAGGAACACCGGUGGCGAAGGCGGGUCUCUGGGCCGAUACUGACGCUGGAGGCACGAAAGCGUGGGGAGCAAACAGG